rnacentral:rRNA from 1 species
GAGUUUGAUCCUGGCUCAGAUUGAACGCUGGCGGCAGGCCUAACACAUGCAAGUCGAGCGGAUGAAGGGAGCUUGCUCCUGGAUUCAGCGGCGGACGGGUGAGUAAUGCCUAGGAAUCUGCCUGGUAGUGGGGAGUAACGUCCGGAAACGGGACGCUAAUACCGCAUACGUCCUGAGGGAGAAAGUGGGGAGUCUUCGGACCUCACGCUAUCAGAUGAGCCUAGGUCGGAUUAGCUAGUUGGUGGGGUAAAGGCCGUACCAAGGCGACGAUCCGUAACUGGUCUGAGAGGAUGAUCAGUCACACUGGAACUGAGACACGGUCCAGACUCCUACGAGAGGCAGCAGUGGGGAAUAUUGGACAAUGGGCGAAAGCCUGAUCCAGCCAUGCCGCGUGUGUGAAGAAGGUCUUCGGAUUGUAAAGCACUUUAAGUUGGGAGGAAGGGCAGUAAGUUAAUACCUUGCUGUUUUGACGUUACCAACAGAAUAAGCACGGCUAACUUCGUGCCAGCCGCCGCGGU